CACGUAGGGGGCGAGCGUUGUCCGGAUUUAUUGGGCGUAAAGAGCUCGUAGGCGGUUUGGCAAGUCGGGUGUGAAAUUUCGAGGCUCAACCUCGAAACGCCACUCGAUACUGCCAUGACUGGAGUCCGGUAGAGGAGUGCGGAAUUCCUGGUGUAGCGGUGAAAUGCGCAGAUAUCAGGAGGAACACCGGUGGCGAAGGCGGGUCUCUGGACAUUUCCUGACGCUGAGGCACGAAAGCCAGGGGAGCAAACGGG
rnacentral:rRNA from 1 species